rnacentral:rRNA from 1 species
AGAAUGAACGCUGGCGGCGCGCCUAAUACAUGCAAGUCGAGCGAGAAGACGUAGCAAUACGUUUGUAAAGCGGCGAACGGGUGAGGAAUACAUGGGUAACCUACCCUUGAGUGGGGAAUAACUAGCCGAAAGGUUAGCUAAUACCGCGUACGCUUCUUGGACUUCGGUUCAGGGAGGAAAGCGAUGCCGAGGGUAUCGCGCUCUUGGAUGGGCUCAUGUCCUAUCAGCUUGUUGGUGAGGUAACGGCUCACCAAGGCUUCGACGGGUAGCUGGUCUGAGAGGACGAUCAGCCACACUGGCACUGCGACACGGGCCAGACUCCUACGGGAGGCAGCAGUAAGGAAUAUUGCGCAAGUGGGACGAAAGCCUGACGCAGCGACGCCGGCGUGGGGGAUGGAAGGUCGUUCGGAUUUCGGUAAACCCCGUUUCGGGAAGGAAGAGUGGAAGUGGGUAACCCAGUUCCGGACGGUACCGUCCAGAACGCAGCCACGGCUAACUCGUCGCCAGCCAGCCGA